UAUGCUUUUCUGGACCAUUGUAGGAGGCAUACGGUUAUGAUGAUGACAACUGCAACCACAGUACGAUCUGCAUGUUUUUAACAUCUCUCUCAGAUACUUAAUGCACCGUCAUGCUGGACCAACUGCGCUGCGCUCCCAGCUAUUUCCUCACUGCUCACCCAUCUUGAGUAUCUGAAGGAUGGUGUGGAUUGCACUUGUUUUGGCAAAGAAAACUCUGCCGAGUCAGAGCAAAGCUUGCCCACCAGAGCUGAGAAGAUUUCACUGUCUGAAGAAGUUACCUCAUGGAAGAGGCUGGUAUGGAGAUGAAUGUAGACUGUGACAGGCUCUGCAUUAUCUUCAGUAUCUGUAACACCAAUGGGCAAGUAAACACAAGCCAACACUGUUUCUUUAAUAUUUCACAAAUUUUUAUAUUUGUGUUUUUCCUUAUUUUGGAGUCAAAUUGAAUGGUACAUCAUAUCUCAUCUUUUAAAACAGGAGCAAGUUGCACAUAAUGAACUUUUUUUUUUUUUCACUAGUGUUUCUCUUAUUUGCUAUUUCUUCCUGAAACUUUAUUUACAGAUAGCUUUUAUUCUCUCCAGAAUUGUGAUUUUGAAAAUUCUGAAAUUCAAGUCACACAGGUUACCUAAAAUGCAAUCUGUGAGUGGGUGUCACAAUACUUCAGCUCUGCUUACACCAGGAGAACUCUAGUGUUUUAAAGACCGCUGUGUAUCAUUUUUAUGCCAACCAGUUAUCAAGAAGACAUUAAAUUGGGAGAAGUAUUAUGUGAUGGAUAAGCUUUGUGUAUUAGAAACACCCUGGUCAUUCAAUAUUUAGUCUACAGUUUGAGUCUCAUCUUGUGUAAUGCUGCAACAUGCUAUUAAAAACAGCAGCUGUUCACUCUAGGGAUGGUUGCACUUCAUUUGUGAACAAAGUGAUUCCCGUGUGUAUCAUGACAAGGUAUAUUCUCUGUCAUACCUUGAAACUCAAGCAAGUCCAACCGAUGUAAAAUUGACUUGAAUAAUUGAAACAGAAUUUGUCCUACGUGUUCUCAUUGUUAAGCUUUAUAAAGCAUUUAUGAUCCAUGCAAAUGAAGACAACUCAUGUAUAUUAAUGCAAUGCUAUUAUUCUAAUUAUCUUUGCAUAUGGCAUAGUAAAUAUAAAGUUAAAGCAAGAUGGAAUUGAAUAUUCAUAAUUUAGCUCACAGCACAUGACAGAUGUUUUAUGCUGAGAAUUAAUGCUGUGUGAAGUUAUAUAUAACUUUGAUAGGCUUUAAUUUGACUGCUUAUGUUAUCUAGCAUAUGUCUAUUCUGUCCUUGAUUAU